rnacentral:lncRNA from 1 species
AGGCAAUUCUCUGUGGGGUAGGACCCUGUCCCAGGACGCAGGAUCGGCGCUGAGUUCGGGAUCUCUGUGUGCACCUGCAUCGCUGGUAGGAGGACACCCAGGAACCAAGGAGUGAGUCAGGAGCAGCCCCCGGUGUCAUCACUCCCAGUGACCCAGGAAGGGAUUUGUGCUUUUUUCCCUGCAGCUCUGGGCGCUGCAGAGUUAGAGGUCCUGGUCCCCGGGGGUGGAGGAAGGGGGUAUAUCAGUGGGCACAGAGCAUGUCCAGUGACGCACAAACCACGGCUGCCCUCUGGUGCAUUGGGUUCCUUGUGGGGGGAUCACGAGGCAGGAGAGGGCACCACCAUCCUGGCAGGUACAACAGACCCCAGUCAGAGGGUGGAGGCAGGGCCGCGGCUGCACAGGGGGUAUGUGGGGAAUUCAGGUGAUCUGCGUGGACACCUCAUGGUGGCCCUGGCCAGCUGUCACUAAAUGGACAGCUACGGCAGGCCCCGCUGGACAUGGCAUGGUGGCAGGGUGCCAGAGCCCUCGGUAGGAAGGACUGGGUCACAGCACCAAGUGAGCUGCUGUUGUCUGCAGAGACAUAACUGAGGGUGAGGGUCUGGGCUGGGUAAUGGAGGGAGGUGAAGAUGGCCCAAGGGGGCUAGUAUGGGUGCAGCAGCCACUGCACUGGGGCCAUGAUCACAGAAGCAUUGCCCAGAAUCAUAGCUCCAGGACACUGGGCCAUGCUCGUGACUUGGUGAAUGAGUGAAUGAGUGAGUGAACGAGCUUCACAGAUUUCCACAGUGAAGAGAACCCUUAGAGUGUCUGAGCCACCCCUCCAUUUGCAAAGCACAGAUCUGGAAACUGGAUGGCCCCAAACUGAGUCCAAGUCCUGCAUCGGCCAGUCGUGUGAACUUGGGUGAGUGACUUAGUCUCACUGUGUCUCAGUUUCCUUAUCAGGAAAAUCUAGCCGUUCACCACCCCUUCCUCAGUGGGCUGCUGUGGGGACUGGAGUUAGCAUGUGCACGGGCAAUGCUAACAGGCACAUACAAAGCACCAAACAAGCAUAAGCUUUGGGUACCUUUUAUCACCUUAUAGACCAGGCGCUGAGACCCGGAGAGGCCAGCAACUUUCCCAACGCUGCGCAGUGAGCCAGGCGCAGGGCUGGGUGGGUCUUGGGUGCCCGGUUCCAGGGCGGCUGCUGGGCCAGGACUGCAGGAUGCUGGAGGAGAAGUCCUAGUCCUGAGGUCCCCAGCUGCCUUCUGGGGCUGACGGGUCUGUUCCUUGUCCCGGAGAAUUCCUCUGAGAAGAGCAAGCAGCUCAGUGAGGACACAUGAGGCCGCCCAGGCCAGGAGAGGACUUCAAAGCCGUGGACAGCUCACAAUCCCCAGGUGGGGACAUGGGAGGCUUCAUUUCCAUUGCUGUUUGAUUUCAGCCUCCCAAUUAGCCAUGCCUAAGUAAUGCACUCAGGGCCGUAUCAAUUGUUUAUGAGCAUAAGCAGGCAUGAGAACGCCCUUCUCUCUGCAAGGAGAUUCCCGCCCUUACCAAGGUGUCUUCCAAGGACUUCAGGAACCCGAAACCUCAUCCUUGAUCGACUCGUGGUGUUGAAGGCCCUGCCAAAGCCAGCCUGGCGCUGCUCUCUGGGAUGGAGACGGCCGGGAGAUGGCAUUUCGGGUCUAAAUUCUCGUGAGUGGUUCUCAGCUGUCAGGAGGUGCCAGGCUUACCUGCCAGGACUGUGGUUUUCUGUCACUGUAACUGUGGGAAUGGCUGAGUCCUGUCUAUGACAGUCACAUGAAAUGAAGUGUUCUGUGCUCCAGGAAA